UACGUAGGGUGCGAGCGUUGUCCGGAAUUAUUGGGCGUAAAGAGCUCGUAGGCGGCUUGUCACGUCGACUGUGAAAUCCCGGGGCUUAACCCCGAGCCUGCUUCUGAUACGGGCAGACUAGAGGUAUGCAGGGGAGAACGGAAUUCCUGGUGUAGCGGUGAAAUGCGCAGAUAUCAGGAGGAACACCGGUGGCGAAGGCGGUUCUCUGGGCAUUACCUGACGCUGAGGAGCGAAAGUGUGGGGAGCGAACAGG
rnacentral:rRNA from 1 species